AUGCUCCUAGCUCAGGGAUUUGGGCAGCUUUUGGAGGUUUCAAUGAAGCAGUUGAAGACAAGGCCUGUUUCUGGGUAUGAGCAUGGUGGGGGCCGCGCACCAGGCCCUAUCGCCUUCCUUCUGUCAGGCAGCUGUCAUCACCCCACAGGGCUUUUCUUCACAGCCUGUUGCCAGGAAGCUGGCCAACUCCUCGGGAAGGUCUCCCUGAGUUACUAUGCUCUAAGAACAGGAGUUGAAGAAUUGUGAGUAGGGUUUGGAGUGAAACUUGUUUGUGAAAACCUUUUCAAAGCUUUGAAGAGCUACUUAUUACCUCUGUCCUCAUAAGCCAAUGAGGAAUGUGGUCCCUACUCUAAAGAAGAGGAGACAAGCAUAGGAAUGGCUUAAAGAGUUGUGCGGUGAGACUCCAAAUCUGGUGCUCCUAUGGUGGCAUACUGGAAGCUACUCUCUUGAAGGCUUAGAACAGGUUAGUCCUGGGCCUUGGUAGCUGGGGGAGUGGGCAGGAGUUGGCUUUUCACUCCCUUUUGAGGUCUGCUCACAUUGCCUGUGGAGCAGCAUGGAAUAAAAGGAAGAUGAGCAUUCA
rnacentral:lncRNA from 12 species